AGAAGAUACAAAAUAAAAACCACUUGCCCAUGGCUGAUUAGCCAAUUCAGAACCCCCAUGCUUAGCUUACCACUAACUUCCCACAUCAUUACAAUGGCAGAGAGAGAGUGUGGUAGGCGUUACUGCCAGUUAAAUACCAAUUGUGAUCUCACCUAUGUGGAGACUCAGGUGAGAUUAUAGGGAAUUCUGGGAAAUACCAAGAACUUCUGGGGAUUUCAGUCUAGGGUUCAAAAUCUCCAUUUAUACACCUGGAGGACAAUAUGAAAGGCCCCUGGUGCCCUAAAUAAUCAUGACUAUUGUAAUAGAGACUUUGGAGAGUGCCCAGAUCUUCUAAGAUGGAGAUAUUCUUUGUCCUCUACCAUGUGGGAAGGUGUAGACUCCUUUGAUUGAUUGUGAACAGGCUGUAUCUUUCAACAAGAUUAUGCCUCUAGCUACCUUGCUAUGUGUUCAAAUCUCUUUCUGGAUGGGAUCCAUCUAAUUCCCUACAUCUGACUUCAAUAAAAUAAUAUGGGAACAUCAGAAGAACCUGAGAAAAGGAGGAGUGCUCUGGGGAGUAUAUCCAAUGAUACUCUGAAAUACCAUGGCUUUCAAGAAACUGUAAGAGAAGAGAAUUUUACUUCUGUGAAGAUACUAAGCCCCUACUGACCCCCUGAUUUAUCUUCUGUCUUUUCUGCUGUAGCUAGCAUUUGUAUAGUUUUGACUAUGACUUUGUGCCAAACACUGUGCUAAAUAAGGUAAUGAAAUGUUAUCUUCUUGUGUUACCUCAUUGAA
rnacentral:lncRNA from 1 species